rnacentral:rRNA from 1 species
UACGUAGGGUGCGAGCGUUGUCCGGAAUUAUUGGGCGUAAAGAGCUUGUAGGCGGUCUGUCGCGUCUGCUGUGAAAAUCCGGGGCUCAACCCCGGACUUGCAGUGGGUACGGGCAGACUAGAGUGUGGUAGGGGAGACUGGAAUUCCUGGUGUAGCGGUGAAAUGCGCAGAUAUCAGGAGGAACACCAGAGGCGAAGGCGGAUCGCUGGGCCAACACUGACGCUGAUGUGCGAAAGCUAGGGGAGCAAACGGG